GGAUAACUCAGUUGGUAGAAAAGGAGACUCUUGAUCUCCAAGUUAAGGGUUCGAGCCCCAUGUUGGGCA